CGUGCAGGCGGUCUGAUAAGUUCGGCGUGAAAUAUUCGGGCUUAACCGGGAUAGGUCGUCGGAGACUGUCGGACUAGAGGGCGAUAGAGGCGUGUGGAAUUCCGGGUGUAGUGGUGAAAUGCGUAGAGCUCCGGAGGAACACCAGUGGCGAAGGCGACACGCUGGGUCGCACCUGACGCUAAAACGCGACAGCAUGGGGAGCGAACG
rnacentral:rRNA from 1 species